rnacentral:rRNA from 1 species
AGGCAGCAGUGAGGGAUAUUGGUCAAUGGGGGAAACCCUGAACCAGCAACGCCGCGUGAGGGAAGACGGUUUUCGGAUUGUAAACCUCUGUCCUCUGUGAAGAUAAUGACGGUAGCAGAGGAGGAAGCUCCGGCUAACUACGUGCC